CCUACGGGUGGCAGCAGUAGGGAAUCUUCCACAAUGGGCGAAAGCCUGAUGGAGCAACGCCGCGUGAGUGAAGAAGGAUUUCGGUUCGUAAAACUCUGUUGUAAGGGAAGAACAAGUACAGUAGUAACUGGCUGUACCUUGACGGUACCUUAUUAGAAAGCCACGGCUAACUACGUGCCAGCAGCCGCGGUAAUACGUAGGUGGCAAGCGUUGUCCGGAAUUAUUGGGCGUAAAGCGCGCGCAGGUGGUUUCUUAAGUCUGAUGUGAAAGCCCACGGCUCAACCGUGGAGGGUCAUUGGAAACUGGGAGACUUGAGUGCAGAAGAGGAUAGUGGAAUUCCAAGUGUAGCGGUGAAAUGCGUAGAGAUUUGGAGGAACACCAGUGGCGAAGGCGACUAUCUGGUCUGUAACUGACACUGAGGCGCGAAAGCGUGGGGAGCAAACAGGAUUAGAUACCCUGGUAGUC
rnacentral:rRNA from 1 species